UUGAUUCUCCUGGGUUACAACAUUUGGAGGCCCCAGUGAGAUCAACCGCAAGGUCCCCCUUUUCUGUGGGGUCGACCUCCUCAGACUACGCAGAGGGCUGCCUCCUUGCCCUCCGCACCUACAUUCGUUCUGGCUUUCGAUUCAGCUAAUUCGGACUAGGACUUCGGCCUCGAGGAUCUGGCGCUCCUGUGACUAUGAAAAAGCCUGAGAUCCUGGUUUCCUGAGAACACUCUGUGAACUUGAAUAGCCUGCCUAAGGGGUUAAUUGGCCACCUGAAGUUCUUACAGGCCCUGCAGUCUGCCCAGAAGGCCAUGCAUAAACACAUCUGCGAUGCCCUGCCUGUGCCCACCUCAAACCCUGUGCACCCGUUCCAGCUCAGGGAUUCGGUAUAGGUAAAGAAAUUCACCACCCAGAGACUAAGUCUGGCCUGGAAGGGACCAUACACUGUCAUCCUGCCCGCACCAACGGCUGUCAAGGUCAACGGCAUCCUGGUCUGGCUGCACCAUUCCUGGCUGAAGGCGGAAAAAGCGGAAUGGACAGUGCAGGCCUCUCCAGAUCCUUAAGAAUGAGACUCUUGCAUUUAUCAGGACUCUAAUUCUUCUAAUUAUAACUGUACAGGGGAAUCUUUAUAGAUCUGUACUCCAGUAGAACUGGGAACUUAGAAAUAGGAUAUUGGAAGAAAUUUUAAGAGAUGUCACCACAAAGGGGAUGUAAUAACUCCAUUCUGACCCUCAGUUACUACACGUACACACCCUAGCAGACUUUCUUUGUAAACAUAAGGGCCUUGAGAAACCCAAAGAAAAAUAUAAAGAUAAGGGGUUAAUAAUGGCCUUGGGGAACUCAGAGGAACCAUGAGAAAAACGAGAUUAAUAGCUGCCCUGACAAAACAAGCUCCUCUCUCCCCCUUCUCUGUAUCAGCCCCCUCUUAACGGUGCCAAAAGCGGCGCCAAGAGAAUGUAGUUUUUUUUCUACAG